UGCCUAUGAUGUACCUGAAAUUCUGACACCUCAUAUGAAACUGUUAAAAACGGCUUCAUGAUAUUCUUAUUGGGCUGAGGCAA